CCAUGAUCAACAUGAGAACGCAAAAGUAAUGGAUGAUGGGAAUGCUUCUGUGCACUGAAGGAGCUUCUUGCCUUGAUCAAUCGCAAGAUGUUCUGCUUGUUUUGUGGUCCUGUUUGAAUAUUGCAUACUCAGGAGCUCCAAUUGCAGGUCCCCAUCCUCUGUUGCAAACAUGGCCGAUGGAUUGCAGCAUCCGUCGGUGAUUCAGAAAAUUCACAAGCAGUCUCACUUUAUAUCUCUUCUUUCGCGUGCCAUCUGCGCGAGAAAUUAC
rnacentral:lncRNA from 1 species